rnacentral:lncRNA from 10 species
GGAGGGACUGGGGGGAAGGCGCGGGGGCGAGACGGCCAGGCCGGGAUCGCGGGAGCCUCGCGAGCAGCAGCUGCCCGGGCCGGGCCGCAGCCGGAGCCUGAGCCGCGCGCGCGUCCUUCCUCCGCGCCGGCCGUACUCGCCUCAGCAGAGUGAAGGCUGCAUUUCCCAGGGCCCCUCAGAUUCCCCUGUUAAUUAAAUCAAUUCAUUAUGCUCAGAUCUGAUUAGCGGCCCUUCCCCCCCCUUUGAAUCAAUUAUUCAAUACACAAACAUAAUUGCUUGGGCCAGAGGUGCCCGCCAUUAGCUUAUUUAACUCCAAGGACACUAAUUACCCGCAGGGCACGGGAACUUUUCUCAUUAAUUCUGACAAAACACAAAAGCACAGCCAGAGUGUGUGCGUGUGAGGGGCUGUGUGUGUGUGUGUGUGUGUGUGUGUGUGUCCGCAUGCCAGAGUGAGGGCUGUGUGGGGUGGUGAGCCACUGUGUGAGCUCAAGACAAGGGUGGGGGUGGGACGCGUGCGAUUGCGGGUGGGUGUGUGCGGGUAGGAGUGUGGGCUCCGUGCCUGUGAUUCUGAAUGAGUGCGCCAGGCUGGGCGUGACUCUGGGUCUGGGGACAGUGGGCCUGGACUGGGACCCGGCACAGGAAUGUGUAUGAGAUCGCGAGAGUGCUUCUGUGUGUGACUUUGUGAAUGUGACUCCGUGGCUACCGUGGCAGGCGCCCCAUCCCCUUUCUUUUUUCAUUAUUGCCCAGCCAUUCCCCGCGGCAUGCUCAGCCCCACGGGGGAAAGUGCAGAUCACAGAGGAGAAAUCCGAGAGGAUCAGGAGGCGGUGGUGACUCUGGACCCAGGCUGGGCCACAGUGCUCUCCAUCCGGUCACCUGUUCAGGCAUCAACUGGGCUUUGCUCUCCCCCAGUUAUAAACCCCAGGUUCCCACCACCACCACCCACUUUGCCCUCUCACUGCCCCUCUCAAUACCGCCCCUACUCUCAACUUUUAUCCCAAAACCCUCCCCACCCCACCCUUGUGCCCGGGAACCCCCAACUCCACCCACCCUAGACCUAGUUCUUCACCUCCUGUCUCAAGGCUGUACCGAGGGUGUGCCUGUGGUUGAUCAACUUCUCCACAUUUUACCUCCCAGGAAAUCUAUUGAGAGAACCAGUGAGAGAGCCCACAGAGGCAGGACACAGAGGGUAAUUGAUUCCCCCAAAUUAGGUUUCUGCUUUCUAAAGACCGGCAUUGUCCCUAUUCUCAAUGUGCACAGAGGUAUUGAAGAUUUCCUUUUUGUUUCCUCGGGCAAUGAAUGAGCUUAAUCCAUUUGGCUUUAUAAAUCAGGAAACUAAUAUUCGCUCCCUCCAUAGCAGCUUUUUAAAAAAUUUAAUUGGUAAGGGAGGUGCAGUUAGUCACCUUUAUACUGUCCCCAAGCCCCCACUUAUCAAAACACAUUCUGAUUGAGGGGUAGAGAGAAGGGAGGGAGCUCAUCCUGAUUCCUCCCACUCUCUUCUAUCCUCCCAAACAGACCCACAUAGUAUCUGGGAAAGUUUGUGAAAUGACUGCAUGAAUUAUAUUCAAUUUGGUGAAGAAAGGAGGACUGUGCAGAGAGAUUCUUCAGAAUGAUCUCCCAAAUCAGCUGCUCUCAAUUCCCCAGGAGUGACUGCCUAGAUGGGUGUUGGCUAUUCCAUGUGCUAAGGCGUCUUGUCAAAGAGCAAGUAGGGCCUGAAAUUCUGCAUCCUUCCACCCUCCAAGCCAUGUAGCUGGCACGGACUGCACCCACCCAGAGAGGGCACCUUUUGCUACUUCGCACAAAAGCACCAUACAGACUAGCGGGGCCCUGCAAUUGGGCAUCUCUGCUUGGCCAGAGUUCACACUCAGAGAAGCCAGCCUGAGGCAUAAGCACCCAGACUCCCUGUUCCCACCAUCACUUGCAGCAAGGGCCUGUGUGAGCACUUAAAAGACCAGCCUCCUGGUUUUCAUAGAGAGAAAGAGAAAUUUCAGAGAGUGUAAACAUCAUGGAGUGAUCAGGGAUAAUGAAGCAGAUGCCCCGCCCUAUCUCUGCAUUUAUAUGGGUCCCCAACUCCUGGUGAAAGACACUGAACUCAGUCCACAGCUGGGUGAAUUUCCCUAUCAGAAAACAGAUUGUCUGAGUAAGUUAAAAAUAAAAUACAGCCAAAUGCUGUUUACAAGAAAUACUCCCAAAACAAGGUGACAAAGAGACUGAAAAUAGAGCAAUGGGCAAAGGUAUACCAAGAAAAUGCAAGCAGAGAGGGAGUAGAAACAGCAAUAUUAAUGUCAAACAAAGCCAACUUCAAAGCUAAAGUUGAAGGGACAGAUCUAUCAUGAGGACUGAGAUCUUCAGCAGGGGCCUGCUGGCAGAGAGACAAUGAGGUUCCUGAGAGGAGAUCCUCAUGGGUGGACUAGACUGAGAAGCAAGACCAGGAGUUUAGAGGAAGAACAGUUCCAAGUAUGGUGCAAGGUGGGGCCUAACUCACCCCUGACCAUCACUCUGAGAAGAAGAGGGCAGUGGUGCAAAUGAGAAACUGGGUCACUAGAAGCCCUGCAGCCUGGCUAUGGGAGCCCCCUCUGAAACAGCUGGUCAUUAGAAGCUGAGGUGUCACCUUGCUGGGCCAAGAGGAAAAGAGCAGCUGGGAUUAGCAACUUGGUGGCAUUAACAGCAGCUCGGGCAAGAUGGCAAGAGCAUCAGGCAGCAGCUCUAAUUAUACAGACGGCGUCUCUUCUCAUAAUCCAUCAACCCCCAUCUCCCAACCCUGGGACUGCUAGAGAGAAAAUGUCUAUCCAGAACUCAAAAUCUAGUGGUGUCCAGAGGGCACUUGGGUCACAUGAGUAAGCAUUCCUAGGUCUCACAACUAUUUGGAGAGGAAGAUCCUGGAGAGGAGAAUUGGAACAUCAGAAUUUGGGGCUAAUUACUGUAAAAUUGUGGGAUCUGGUAUUUGGCAUUUUUAUGCCUUUAUGUUCCAACCUGUCUUAGCUGCAUGACUGGCAUGAAGGGAAAGGCUGUGUGAGAAAGAAUGGACCAGAACAAUAAUAGGGGAGCUGUCCCUGGUGCAACCGCCAGCUUUUCCCAAUGGCGGUGGAGGUCAGUAUAUCAGUAUGUUACACUAAACAUGAAGAGAGUGAAUUUCCCUAUCAAAAAACAGAUUGUCUGAGUAAGUUAAAAAUAAAAUACAGCCAAAUGCUGUUUACAAGAAAUACUCCCAAAACAAGGUGACAAAGAGACUGAAAAUAAAGCAAUGGGCAAAGAUACACCAAGAAAAUGCAAGCAGAGAGGGAGUAGAAACAGCAAUAUUAAUGUCAAACAAAGCCAACUUCAAAGCUAAAAGCAUAAACUGCUUGAAAAUUAAGAAACAUCCCAUUAAAUUAGUACUGGAUCAAAAUAAGAUCAAAACAGAAAUUACCAAUCUAGUAAUGAAAAUAGAAAACACAGCAUAUCAUACAGAACUUACGGAACACAGCUGUACUCAGAGGAAGAAAUAUAGCCUCAUAUGCUUGAAAUAUUUUUUAAAAAGACUGGAAGAAAAUGAACUAGAUAUUCAAUCUAAGAAAUUAGAAAAGAAUAAACUGAACCAAAAAAGUGGAAGAAAAUUAAUGAAGUCAGAAAACAAUGAAAUAGAAAAUAAACAAGUAAUAGAAAAGGUAAUUAAAAGGGAAAAUUAGAACCAACACUUGGUUAUUUGAAAAGACUAACAAAAUGGAAAAAAAACUUCCACGAAAACCUAGUUAAGAAAAUAAAGCACAAAUAUAUGAUAUUAGAUAUAAGAAAAGAGAUAUAUCACAGGUACAGAGAAGGUUAAAAAAUUAUAACAAUAAUAUGAGUAAGCCUAUGAAAAUAAAUGUGAAAACCUGGAAGAAAUGGAUGACUUCGAGCAAAGUAGAAAAUUAUCAAAACUGAGCAUAGAAGAUGUUGAAAUCCCAAAUAGGCCAAUAAACAGAAUACAUUUAAAAAGAUAUUAAAACUAUGCCAUUAAAAUAUCACAAGGCACCAUAUGCUCCAACAAUUCUACUUCUGGAAAUAAACCAAAAGUAUUGAAAGCAGGUUCUUUAAGAGAUAUUUUUACAUCCAUGUCCAUAGCAGCAUUAUUCACAAUAAUCAAAAGGUGGAAGCAACCCAAGUGUUCCCCAAUGGGUGAAUAGAUAAACAAAAUGUGGUAGAUACAUACAGAGGAAUAUUAUUCAGCCUUUCAAAGGAAGGAAUUUCUGACACAUGCUACAACAUGGAUGAACCUUGAGGAUGCUAUACCAAGUGAAAUAAGCCAGUCACAAAAAGACAAAUAUUGCUUGACUUCAUUUAUAUGAUGUACCUAGAGUAGUCAAAUUCAUAGGGACAAAAAGUAGAAUGGUGGUUGGCAGGGGUUCAGGGGAGGGGAGAAUGGGGAAUUUAAUGGGUAUAGCAUUUUCAGAUUUGCAAGAUAAAGAGUUCUGGAGAUUGGUUACCCAACAACGUGAAUGUGCUUAACACUGCUAAACUGUGCACUUAACAAUGGUAAGGAUGGUGAAUUUUAUGUUAUGUGUAUUUUAUCACAAUUAAAAUAAAACCCCACAAGGCACAGAUUACAUUAAAAUGAGUUUUGUAUAACCUGAAAAACAGAUGAUUUUAAUGUUAUUUAAACUAUUCCAGACAAAAGAAAAAUUUGGAAAGCUUCCUAGUUUGUUUUAUGAGCCAGCAUUUUCUUAAUCCCAAACCUUAUAAAGAUUGAAUUUUAAAAGAAAAAAAAUUCACAGAACAGCUUGAAUAAGAGUGCAAAAGCUGAAAUAAGAUAUUAGCUAUCUUGACAUGAAAAAAAAGUAUCAAAAGAAUAAAACACCAUGACAAAGGAGGGUUUAUUUUAACACCACAAACAUGAUUCAGCAUAAGGAACUCUAUCAGUAUGAGUCACUACAUCAACAAAUAAAGGAACAAAAUAUGAGUAUAGUAAUAUAUGUCCAAAAUCAUUUGAUAAAAUUUAGCAUAUAUUACUAACAAAAUAUUAAGCAAAAUAGAAAUAGAAGAAAACUACUUCAAUUUGUUAAGACUGUUUACCAAAACCCAAAAGAAAAUAAAUAAAUGUGACAUUCUGAAACUAUUUCCAUAAAUUGGAACUAAGACAGAAUAUCCAUUAUCAUUAUUAUUCAACAUUUUUUGAGACUUUAACUCAAUAAGACAAGAAAAUGAACUGCUUAAAAUAAACAGCUGUUUUUUGAAAGGACAAAAAUAUGUUUAUUUACAAAUUAUGCGAUUAUAUAACCA